GACGAACGCUGGCGGCGUGCUUAACACAUGCAAGUCGAACGGAAAGGCCCUGCUUUUGUGGGGUGCUCGAGUGGCGAACGGGUGAGUAACACGUGAGUAACCUGCCCUUGACUUUGGGAUAACUUCAGGAAACUGGGGCUAAUACCGGAUAGGAGCUCCUGCUGCAUGGUGGGGGUUGGAAAGUUUCGGCGGUUGGGGAUGGACUCGCGGCUUAUCAGCUUGUUGGUGGGGUAGUGGCUUACCAAGGCUUUGACGGGUAGCCGGCCUGAGAGGGUGACCGGCCACAUGGGGACUGAGAAACGGCCCAGACUCCUAGGGGAGGCAGCAGUGGGGAAUAUUGCACAAUGGGCGGAAGCGUGAUGCGGCAACGCCGCGUGAGGGAUGACGGCCUUCGGGUUGUAAACCGCUUUCGCCGGUGACGAAGGGUGAGUGACGGUAAUGGGUAAAGAAGAACCGGCUAAUUACGU
rnacentral:rRNA from 1 species